UUAGUAACGAUCAGGGCGGUAGC
rnacentral:miRNA from 1 species